CCUACGGGAGGCUGCAGUGAGGAAUAUUGGUCAAUGGGCGGGAGCCUGAACCAGCCAAGCGGCGUGAAGGAAGAAGGCGCCAGGCGUCGUAAACUUCGUUUGUCGGGGAACAAAGGGCGCCACGCGUGGCGUUGUGAGUGUACCCGAAGAAAAAGCAUCGGCUAACUCCGUGCCAGCAGCCGCGGUAAUACGGAGGAUUCGAGCGUUAUCCGGAUUUAUUUUGUUUCAAGGGAGCGUAGAUGGGUUGUUAAGUCAGUUGUGAAAGUUUGCGGCUCAACCGUAAAAUUGCCAUUGAUACGGGCAGCCUUGAGUACAGUUGAGGUAGGCGGAAUUCGUGGUGUAGCGG
rnacentral:rRNA from 1 species